rnacentral:rRNA from 1 species
CCUACGGGAGGCUGCAGUGAGGAAUAUUGGUCAAUGGGCGAGAGGCUGAACCAGCCAAGUCGCGUGAGGGAUGACGGUUCUAUGGGUUGUAAACCUCUUUUGUCAGGGAAUAAAGAGUGGGACGUGUCCUAUUUUGUAUGUACCUGAUGAAAAAGCAUCGGCUAACUCCGUGCCAGCAGCCGCGGUAAUACGGAGGAUCCGAGCGUUAUCCGGAUUUAUUGGGUUUAAAGGGUGCGUAGGCGGAGGUUUAAGUCAGCGGUCAAAUUUGGGGGCUCAACCCUGGACUGCCGGUGAAAAUGGGGGCCUUGAGUACGUGAGAGGUAUGCGGAAUGCGUGGUGUAGCGGUGAAAUGCUUAGAUAUCACGCAGAACUCCGAUUGCGAAGGCAGCCUGCCAGGCCACGACUGACGCUGAUGCACGAAAGCGUGGGGAUCAAACAGGAUUAGAUACCCGAGUAGUC